rnacentral:misc_RNA from 1 species
GUAUGAGAAUACAGGACUGCAUAACGUUGUGCAUCUCUCGCAAAAAAGUGCUCCAUAUGAUCUCCUGUCUAAGAUGCUUGAAUAUGAUCCUCGAAAGCGGAUAACUGCUGCACAAGCUCUAGAGCAUGAGUAUUUUCGGAUAGAACCUCUACCAGGGCGCAAUGCUUUGGUGCCCUCUCAACCUGGAGAAAAGGCAAUUAACUAUCCCACCCGUCCAGUAGACACAAAUACAGACUUUGAAGGAACAACUAGUCUUCAGCCUCCACAACCAGUAUCUUCUGGAAAUGCAGUUUCUGGAGGCAUGCCAGGUGCUCAUGGAGUGGCUAACAGAUCUGCUCCUCGACCGAUGCCAAUGGGCAUGCAGAGAAUGCAACCUUCAGCCAUGGCUGCUUACAAUAUUGCAUCUCAGGCUGGGAUGGGAGGUGGAAUGAAUCCAGCUGGC